CACACAAUAAAGCAAACCAGCGAACUGUGUCGUCCCUCGAGGGACCGCGCCCGGAGGUGCGGUCGCCGGCGAUGUGUUGGUCCCCCCUCCUCUCGGAGGGGGGGGGCACCUUCGUAGGUGCCGAACGGUUGAUGGCAUGUCGUCGGCCGGGGCGCCCCUCGGUGCUCCUCGAUCUUUGAGGGGCCAUCUUUUCGGGGAUGGUCACUCAAGGGUCGGGGUAGGGCGUCCCCCUCCCCCGUUUGCCCCAACUCCACCUUCGGGCGGGGGUUGUGGUACCCGGGGCCGCUUUUUUUUCCCCUUAGAACGUUGACCAACUUGAUUUUGAGGCUGAGCUUUGAGCCUUGCUCCCCGCGGGGGAGUGGAGCUCAAAUCGAGAAUUGAAAAACAACUCUCAGCAACGGAUAUCUUGGCUCUUGCAACGAUGAAGAACGCAGCGAAAUGCGAUACCUAGUGUGAAUUGCAGAAUUCCGCGAAUCAUCGAGUUUUUGAACGCAAGUUGCGCCCGAGGCUUGUCCCGAGGGCAUGCCUGCCUGAGCGUCACCGCAAUCCCACCAGGAACCCUCCUUCGGGGAGGGACCUGUGUGGAACUGGCCGUCCGGGGCCCGGCGUUGAAGCCUGUGGCCGCGGUUGGCUGAAAUGGAGCGUUCUGGACGUAGCCGAAUCGAGAGGCCGCGAGAAGGUGAUCCGCCCUCAGUCGGGCGGAGUCUGUUUGACAGCGCGUCUCGUUUCGGAGGUCAUCGAACCGAUCGCAGGACUCACGAGAGUGAGGUGUCCCAGCUUGGACCUCAGAUCAGGCAAGAUACCGCUGAGUUUAAGCAUAUC
rnacentral:rRNA from 1 species